rnacentral:tRNA from 1 species
GCCGACGUAGCUCAGUGGUAGAGCAACUGAUUCGUAAUCAGUAGGUUGUCGGUUCAAAUCCGACCGUCGGCUCCA